AAAUUGAAGAGUUUGAUCAUGGCUCAGAUUGAACGCUGGCGGCAGGCCUAACACAUGCAAGUCGAACGGUAACAGGAAGCAGCUUGCUGCUUCGCUGACGAGUGGCGGACGGGUGAGUAAUGUCUGGGAAACUGCCUGAUGGAGGGGGAUAACUACUGGAAAUGGUGGCUAAUACCGCAUAACGUCGCAAGACCAAAGAGGGGGACCUUCGGGCCUCUUGCCAUCAGAUGUGCCCAGAUGGGAUUAGCUUGUUGGUGAGGUAACGGCUCACCAAGGC
rnacentral:rRNA from 1 species